GGAAGUAAAAGUCUAACAAGGUCUCCGUUGGUGAACCAGCGGAGGGAUCAUUACCGAGUUUACAACUCCCAAACCCCAUGUGAACCUUACCAAACGUUGCUUCGGCGGGAUGCCCCGGGCGCGGGCCGCAAGGCCUCAGCCCCGGAACCAGGCGCCCGCCGGAGGCCCAAACCAAACUCUUGUUUUUGUAGAAUCUUCUGAGUGGCCUUUUAGGCAAAAAAUGAAUCAAAACUUUCAACAACGGAUCUCUUGGUUCUG
rnacentral:misc_RNA from 1 species